GUCAGGCCCAAGUCCACAAUCUCACCUUUGACCGACUUCAUACCAAGUGUUUUACUAAGAACCUAAACCCUCUACUCUUCCUCCUAAAACCCAUUUCUGGCAAAAACAUGUCGGCAUUGUUACCGGAAACCUGCCGAAAAAUAAUCACACCGGAAUACCUCCGUUCAGCGGCGAAACAAUCGAUAAAAUGUCACGUAAUAUCCGUUCGUCUUCGUUGCGCCAUUGAAAAAUUCCUCCAAGAGCAAGAAACGGUGCAUAUGAAGAAUAGAGUGCGGAGAUUAACAGCAUCAUUUGCGGAGAUUAAGGAUGUAAAUCGAUUACUUCCUUCAACAUUAUCGAAAGAACUUGUUGAAGAUCCAAUAAAGUGGUUGGAAAAAUCGCAGAGGUGGAAAAUAAAGAGUGAAUAUGGUGAUAUUGGAUUAACUUAUGCUGAUGAUCAAACUGUUGCUUAUGUUGCUUCUCGAAUGCCUUCUGUUUAUUCUGCUUGUUUUAGAAUCCUUCGUGAGAUACGACGUAGGGUGCCAGAUUUUUCUCCAAAUAAAGUAUUAGACUUUGGGUCUGGUACUGGUUCGGCUUUCUGGGCAAUAAGAGAGGUUUGGCCGGGGAAAGUAGAGCAGUUGAAUUUGAUUGAGCCUUCACAGUCAAUGCAACGUGCUGGUGUUAGUCUUGUACGAGAUUUCAAGAACGUGCCAGUUAUUCACAGCUACAGAACUAUUCUAGCCUUAACUAAGAAGAUCAAAAAGGCUGAAAGGGAACACGACCUUGUCAUUGCUUCCUUUGUUCUUGGAGAGAUUCCAUCCCUGAAAGAUAGGAUUGCUGUAACGCGUCAUCUAUGGGGUCUUACUCGAGAUAUUCUGGUACUUGUUGAACCAGGCACGCCUGAGGGGUCAAAUAUCAUAACUCAGAUGCGAUCACAUAUUUUAUGGAUGGAACAGAGGAAAUGCCGGAAACUUAAGAAAAAGUCCGAUGAUGCUUUAGAAAAUUCAGGAGCUUCCAGUGCUGGUGCAUUUGUAAUUGCUCCGUGUCCCCAUGAUGGACCUUGUCCACUAGCUAAUACUGGAAAAUAUUGUCAUUUUGUUCAGCGGGUGGAGAGAACCGAGUCACAACGUGCAUUUAAGAGAUCAGGCAGUGCACCUUUGCGUGGUUUUGAGGAUGAAAAAUUUUCCUAUGUUGUGUUGAGACGGGGAAAAAGACCACAGGAGCCUUGGCCUCUGGAUGGCAUAAAGUUUGAGACCUUAAAAGAAAGAAAUGCCAAAAGGAACCCUGAGGAUUUGGAAAUAGACUUUGAAGGUGAAUAUGAGCUGGGUGCUGAUGACAUUGUACCCGAUGAAGUUUCUUUACAAGAUUCUGAUGCAACAGAAUUGGAGGUAUUGACUGAGCAUGAAGAUGAAGAGGAAGGAGAGGAAGUAGGCCAUGCAGAUUUGGGAACUGGUUGGGGUAGAAUAAUUUUCAUGCCUCAAAAGAGGGGUAAGCGUAUUGCAAUGGAUGUAUGUCGAGCUACCAAGCGUGAUGGUUCAGAAGGUGCGUUCGAGCAUUUGGUCAUUACAAAGGGGAAGAAUCCAACCUUACAUCAUCAAGCUCGGAAGUCCAUUUGGGGGGAUUUGUGGCCCUUCUAACUUCUAAGUGAAGCUGAUAACAGAGACUGAGCUUUUGGAUUGGUGACAGAGAUAUGUGCGGAAAAUCUACAUGAUUCAAGAUGGCAGUGCCUUGACUCAUGGUAGGUGCUUUAUUUUAAGGUUGAGAUUUAGUCAAAAGAAAAGUCCCCAAUGUGUUCCUUGUCCAGUCUGCCACAUUUUGAGUUUGAAAAUGGGAAAGAAAACAUUUCGCGCCCUUGGUUAACUGGUCACUGUUGUACAGGAAUCUUUACGGGAAGUGAAGCGUGUGAUUGUUGGAUUCUGUUCUAAUAAUAAGGUUUUAGAGUGUGGUUUGGGGGUAUACUAAUGAAUUUGUCCACCCACGGCAGAAGCGAGACUUCAAAAGUUUAGGGAAUUGAAUGGAGCAAAUGGCAAGGAUACUUGUACACUUCUGAAAAUAGAUUCAACUACAAGCGAACAUGUGGAUGAUUGCUUUAUCUGGAGAUGAUGAUCUACGUGUUUUCAUAUAUGGUGCAAGCUCUGCAAGGUGUGCCUUUGUAUUUCCCAUUUCGUUAAUCUUGUACACAUUAUGCAUCCAGCUAACAAUCCAGAAGGGCUACUCCUGUAAAAUGCAAGGAUACCGUCUUCUUGCCUUGCUUGAAUAUAAUUGAUACCCGAUGCAGAUAGUCAUCUACUGCAUGCAAUAUUUGAUCAGCAAAUUCUGACUGGCAUACUCGAAGUUCAUAAAAUAUUUAACUAGCUGACUGAAGUUUUGACAUCAGGAAAGAAUUGAAGAUUAAAGCCUUGACAUUUUUUAACUGAUCUUAGAUGGUUUAUGCUAGUUUUCUGAUGGCAUUUGUGAUAUCUUGUUUGGUUGACUUAUUUUAUAUAGUUCUGUCAUUCACAUUUGUGAGAUGUCAUGGACUCAUGGUUAUUAAAUCUAACGUGCAUUUACGGUCAGUUUGGUUUUUGGAAUUAAAUGGUAUAAGUGAUACUGAAAUAGUAGUAUACAUUGUAAUUUAACAAAAAAAUAUUGCUCCCUUUGUUCUAUUUAAUUUGCACGAAAUUUCUAUUUUAGAUUGUCCUAUUUACUCUGCACUCUUUUUUUUAAGAGCCCCUACAAUUUUCUUUUAUUUCCUUUUAUUUCCAUCCACAAUUUCAUUUGUUCUUUUAAUCUCUUCCAUUCAAUCUUCUAUCCCUUUUAUUCAAUUUAAAAUGUCCCAAAUCAAAUGGGACAGAGGGAACACGUGACAAGAUUUGUAAUCGAAAUUUUUGCUAGAAUUGUAACGGAGGAUUAGAACAAGAUUAUUUAGUGCAGGGAUAGAGUCUCAUUUACCUGCAAUAUCAAAUAAAGAGCAGUUUCCCACCAUUGAACCAAUAAUACCUCCCUGAAAUCAGCCAAAAAAUUCUCAUGAAUAUAUAUAUAUGCUAAAGGAAGUUGGGGAAGCCAACUGUUAUAUGACCUUUCCAUCAGGGCGAUAGCAAAUUGCAGUGACGAUU